rnacentral:hammerhead_ribozyme from 1 species
ACUCAGUUGAAGAGUCCCUAAUAGAGCGAAAUGCGCAUCCUGAAU